rnacentral:rRNA from 1 species
UUGCUCUUCAACGAGGAAUUCCUAGUAAGCGUGAGUCAUCAGCUCGCGUUGAUUACGUCCCUGCCCUUUGUACACACCGCCCGUCGCUACUACCGAUUGAACGGCUUAGUGAGGUCUUGGGAUUGGCGAUAGGGAGCCGGAAACGGCACUUUUUUGCUGAGAACUUGAUCAAACUUGGUCGUUUAGAGGAAGUAAAAGUCGUAACAAGGUUUCCGUAGGUGAACCUGCGGAAGGAUCAUUAUUGAAUUCCAACCGGGUGAGGUUGUGCUGGCCCUCAGGGGCAUGUGCACACCUCGCUCAUCAAUAUCUCAUACCUCUGUGCACUUUUCAUAGGAUAGCUUGUGGCUGCUGAUUUUAUAUCAACAGUUACAGUUGUUCUGUGCUUUUUAUAAACUUUUAAACCAGUCAAGAAUGUUCAUUGUGUGUAUACACAUUUUAAUACAACUUUCAGCAACGGAUCUCUUGGCUCUCGCAUCGAUGAAGAACGCAGCGAAAUGCGAUAAGUAAUGUGAAUUGCAGAAUUCAGUGAAUCAUCGAAUCUUUGAACGCACCUUGCGCUCCUUGGUAUUCCGAGGAGCAUGCCUGUUUGAGUGUCAUGGUAUUCUCAAUUCCCAAGUCUUUUGUGAGACUCUGGUGAUAUUGGAUUUGGAGGCUUUUGCUGGCAUCUGUUAAGGAGCCAGCUCCUCUUAAAUGAAUUAGUGUGAAUGUCUCACUUCAUGCUCAGUGUGAUAAUUAUCUGCACUGUGUUUGAGUGUUGUUGGUUUCAUGCUUCAAACUGUCGAAAGACAAUUUUUUUUGACUUCUGACCUCAAAUCAGGUAGGACUACCCGCUGAACUUAAGCAUAUCAAUAAGCGGAGGA